GACACAGGCAUCUGUGGCUUUAAAAAGCCUUCAGGUUUAAAACUUAUGUCCAUACAGAAACAUGGAUGUGGAUUUCACAACAGUUUCACUCAUAACUGUCAAAAUUUGGAAGCUACCAAGAUGUUCUUCAAUAGCACUGUUGAAUCACACUGGUUUCUGCCACCUGAGUGACCCACUGAUUCAUACCUGUCUGCAAUGGCAGAGACUUCUGACCCCACCAGCUCUGUUUUUCAGUUGUGAGUCAUGUGCAAACAGCUCCUCGACCAGGGAUUAAACCUGCACCCCCUGCAUUGGAAGGCGAAGUCUUUAGCACUGGACUGCCAGGGAAGU